rnacentral:rRNA from 1 species
AGAGUUUGAUCCUGGCUCAGGAUGAACGCUGGCGGCGUGCCUAACACAUGCAAGUCGAACGAAGCACUUACAGCAUAUCUUUUCGGAGUGAAGCAGUUUGUGACUUAGUGGCGGACGGGUGAGUAACGCGUGGGUAACCUGCCUUACACAGGGGGAUAACAGUUAGAAAUGACUGCUAAUACCGCAUAAGCGCACAGCAUCGCAUGGUGCAGUGUGAAAAGCCUUAACGGUGUAAGAUGGACCCGCGUCUGAUUAGCUGGUUGGUGAGGUAACGGCCCACCAAGGCGACGAUCAGUAGCCGGCCUGAGAGGGUGAACGGCCACAUUGGGACUGAGACACGGCCCAAACUCCUACGGGAGGCAGCAGUGGGGAAUAUUGGACAAUGGGGGAAACCCUGAUCCAGCGACGCCGCGUGAGUGAAGAAGUAUUUCGGUAUGUAAAGCUCUAUCAGCAGGGAAGAUAAUGACGGUACCUGACUAAGAAGCACCGGCUAAAUACGUGCCAGCAGCCGCGGUAAUACGUAUGGUGCAAGCGUUAUCCGGAUUUACUGGGUGUAAAGGGAGCGUAGACGGACGGCUAAGUCUGAUGUGAAAGGUGGGGGCUCAACCCCCAAACUGCAUUGGAAACUGGUCAUCUAGAGUGUCGGAGAGGUAAGUGGAAUUCCUAGUGUAGCGGUGAAAUGCGUAGAUAUUAGGAGGAACACCGGUGGCGAAGGCGGAUUCCUUGAACGGUACUGACGCUGAGGCGCGAAAGUCGGGGGAGCAAACAGGAUUAGAUACCCUGGUAGUCCCGACCUUAAACGGUGCACACUCGGGGGUGGGGGCAUU